GCUCCAGUGGCGCAAUUGGUUAGCGCACGGUACUUAUAAGACAGUACACGCGGUGCGGGCCGAAAUCUCGGCGCGAGCGGCGCGUUGUUCGUGUGAGCGAUGCCGGGGUUGUGAGUUCGAGCCUCACCUGGAGCA
rnacentral:tRNA from 2 species